UUUACUAAACUUAAGUAUAUUAAUAAAUAAAAGAAAAGAAACUAAUAAGAAUUACUUUAGUAAUAACGAAUAAAGUAGUA
rnacentral:ncRNA from 1 species